AGCACAAGUGAUGAACAAUAAAGGGACUUAAUACUGAAAGCUGAUGUUAUAUUUCAAUGUGCUGAUGUGC